AGUGAACGCUGGCGGUAGGCCUAACACAUGCAAGUCGAACGGCAGCACAGUAAGAGCUUGCUCUUACGGGUGGCGAGUGGCGGACGGGUGAGGAAUACGUCGGAAUCUACUUUUUCGUGGGGGAUAACGUAGGGAAACUUACGCUAAUACCGCAUACGACCUACGGGUGAAAGCAGGGGAUCUUCGUACCUUGCGCGAUUGAAUGAGCCGAUGUCGGAUUAGCUAGUUGGCGGGGUAAAGGCCCACCAAGGCGACGAUCCGUAGCUGGUCUGAGAGGAUGAUCAGCCACACUGGAACUGAGACAAGGUCCAGACUCCUACGGGAGGCAGCAGUGGGGAAUAUUGGACAAUGGGCGCAAGCCUGAUCCAGCCAUACCGCGUGGGUGAAGAAGGCCUUCGGGUUGUAAAGCCCUUUUGUUGGGAAAGAAAAGCAGCAGGUUAAUACCCCGCUGUUCUGACGGUACCCAAAGAAUAAGCACCGGCUAACUUCGUG
rnacentral:rRNA from 1 species